rnacentral:tRNA from 5 species
GGGGGUAUAGCUCAGCGGAUUUAGAGUGUCGGUCUACGAAACCGAAGGUCACAGGUUCGAAUCCUGUUACCCCUGCCA